rnacentral:lncRNA from 1 species
UAAUAACGUAAUUAGAAUAGUGGCUCAAGACAUUAUAGACAUUCUCUGAAAAUCCUUACAAAAUUAUGAUUAGGGAAAAGUACAUCCACUAACACUAAUUUUCGUUUUUAAACCCGAGGUAAGGCCUGUUCCUAGUACACACUUCAACGACAUACAAAGUAGCUUUAUCGACCCAUCAAACUAACUAAAAAGGGACAACUGAGUAAUAAGCCAUAGCUUUUGAAUAUUUUCUCUUGGAAUAAUCACAAACAAGAACCCCUCCAUGUAACUGCACAGCUUCAUAACUGUUGAUAACUCUCAUCUCUUCAAUUGCAGAAGCUGGUUUGAACUGAACAAGAUUAGAUUUCUGAGGUUGGUAUUGUUGGUAAAACAAAUUUUUACUAUUAGUUGUUUUAACAGCAGUAGAAGUAGGAGGAAUACUAGGUUUUCCUUUACUUCUUCCAUAGAUUUGUUCGUCAAGAAGAGCAAAGGCUUCUUGGCCUAUUCUGGGAAGGUCUUUUCUUGGUGCCAUAAAUCUGAGAGUUGGCUGCUAAAUUUUAUGUCUAAGAAGUUGGUAUUUUGGUUAGCUUUGGAAAGGAGAGAAGUUGGUUGUGUUUAUUGUGA